UGGACUACCCCGGGUAUCUAAUCCUGUUUGCUACCCACGCUUUCGCACCUCAGUGUCAGUGUCAGUCCAGAAGGCCGCCUUCGCCACUGGUAUUCCUCCCGAUCUCUACGCAUUUCACCGCUACACCGGGAAUUCUACCUUCCUCUCCUGCACUCUAGCUUGACAGUUCCGGAUGCCGUUCCCAGGUUGAGCCCGGGGCUUUCACAACCGGCUUAUCAAGCCACCUACGCGCGCUUUACGCCCAGUAAUUCCGAUUAACGCUUGCACCCUCCGUAUUACCGCGGCUGCUGGCACGGAGUUAGCCGGUGCUUCUUCUGCGAGUGAUGUCUUUCCUAGCGGGUAUUAACCGCUAGGCGUUCUUCCUCGCUGAAAGUGCUUUACAACCCGAGGGCCUUCUUCACACACGCGGCAUGGCUGGAUCAGGGUUKCCCCCAUUGUCCAAUAUUCCCCACUGCUGCCUCCCGUAGGAGUUCGGGCCGUGUCUCAGUCCCGAUGUGGCUGAUCAUCCUCUCAGACCAGCUACGGAUCGUGGCCUUGGUGAGCCGUUACCUCACCAACUAGCUAAUCCGACAUAGGCUCAUCCCAUAGCGGGAGCCGGAGCCCCCUUUCUCCCGUAGGACGUAUGCGGUAUUAGCCUGGGUUUCCCCAGGUUAUCCCCCACUAUCGGGCAGAUUCCUAUGCAUUACUCACCCGUCCGCCGCUCGUCAGCAUCCAGCAAGCUGGAUCUGUUACCGCUCGACUUGCAUGUGUUAGGCCUGCCGCCAGCGUUCAAUCUGAGCCAGGUCCCAAACUAUG
rnacentral:rRNA from 1 species